UCUUUAUUACUUUAAUAUGAAGAAAAAGUAAUUUGCAUAAUUCAAAAGUGUUGAUUUAGGCAUGGAAGACAAAUAACGUACUGGGCAGCCAGAAAAGUAUGAAGAUGAAGAACUGGAAGUAUUCCUAAAUGAAGCAGCCGUUUCAACGUUUUAAAGUUUAAAAGCGACCGGUUACAUUCAAAAGCGAGAGGGUUGAGUGUCACAUGAAUUGAAACCAAGAAACGUUAAAGGAUGACUUUGAAUGUCAGAAAUGCUGUUUGAAUGCUAAAAAGGAGUCGUUUUUACAUCGGAUUGUGACUGCUGAUGAAAAAUGGACUCAUUAUGACAACACUAAAUACAUAUGUGAAACCUGGACAAUGAGCCAAAUCAAUGUCAAAACCGAAUAUUUAUGACGUCAAAUUAAUGCUCUGUAUGUCAUUGUUUUGGACCGACAACAACUCAUCAAGUUGAAAUGAGCGAUUGCCGAAUAACGUCCGAAAUUAGCGACUAGACAUGAACGCCCUCAAUUUGAUAUAUUCGUCUUCGCCAAGCCGGCACAGUUCAAAGAUGAAAUCCACAAAUUGCGAGAAAUUGUAGUUUCAGCUGGGACUAUCAACGUAUUGCUAUAUGAAUAUCAAAUUGAAUGUGCAAAAAAAAAAA